GCUGGCGCUGGGCAUUGGUGAGCCCCGCGGCCUGUAAAGCCGUCGCCUCGGCUGUGGGGGUUCGAAUCCCUCCGCCAGCA
rnacentral:tRNA from 3 species